rnacentral:rRNA from 1 species
GAUGAACGCUGGCGGCGUGCCUAAUACAUGCAAGUCGAGCGAACAGACGAGGAGCUUGCUCCUCUGACGUUAGCGGCGGACGGGUGAGUAACACGUGGAUAACCUACCUAUAAGACUGGGAUAACUUCGGGAAACCGGAGCUAAUACCGGAUAAUAUAUUAAAACGCAUGGUUCAAUAGUGAAAGACGGUUUUGCUGUCACUUAUAGAUGGAUCCGCGCCGCAUUAGCUAGUUGGUAAGGUAACGGCUUACCAAGGCGACGAUGCGUAGCCGACCUGAGAGGGUGAUCGGCCACACUGGAACUGAGACACGGUCCAGACUCCUACGGGAGGCAGCAGUAGGGAAUCUUCCGCAAUGGGCGAAAGCCUGACGGAGCAACGCCGCGUGAUUGAUGAAGGUCUUCGGAUCGUAAAACUCUGUUAUUAGGGAAGAACAAAUGUGUAAGUAACUAUGCACGUCUUGACGGUACCUAAUCAGAAAGCCACGGCUAACUACGUG